UGGGGAAUUUUGGACAAUGGGCGAAAGCCUGAUCCAGCAAUGCCGCGUGUGUGAAGAAGGCCUUCGGGUUGUAAAGCACUUUUGUCCGGAAAGAAAUCCUUGGCUCUAAUACAGUCGGGGGAUGACGGUACCGGGAGAAUAAGCACCGGCUAACUACGUGCCAGCAGCCGCGGUAAUACGUAGGGUGCAAGCGUUAAUCGGAAUUACUGGGCGUAAAGCGUGCGCAGGCGGUUUGCUAAGACCGAUGUGAAAUCCCCGGGCUCAACCUGGGAACUGCAUUGGUGACUGGCAGGCUAGAGUAUGGCAGAGGGGGGUAGAAUUCCACGUGUAGCAGUGAAAUGCGUAGAGAUGUGGAGGAAUACCGAUGGCGAAGGCAGCCCCCUGGGCCAAUACUGACGCUCAUGCACGAAAGCGUGGGGGAGCAAACAGGAUUAGAUACCCUGGUAGUCCACGCCCUAAACGAUGUCAACUAGUUGUUGGGGAUUCAUUUCCUUAGUAACGUAGCUAACGCGUGAAGUUGACCGCCUGGGGAGUACGGUCGCAAGAUUAAAACUCAAAUGAAUUGACGGGGUCAUAGCUGUUUCCU
rnacentral:rRNA from 1 species